rnacentral:rRNA from 1 species
GACGAACGCUGGCGGCGUGCUUAACACAUGCAAGUCGAACGAAGUGGCGAACGGGUGAGUAAUACGUGGGUAACCUGCCCUCCUUUUUGGGAUAAGCCUUGGAAACGGGGUCUAAUACCGAUAAAAGGGGGAUGGGCUCGCGGUGUAUCAGCUUGUUGGUGGGGUGAUGGCCUACCAAGGCGGUGACGGGUAGCCGGCCUGAGAGGGUGACCGGCCACAUUGGGACUGAGAUACGGCCCAGACGCCUACGGGAGGCAGCAGUGGGGGAUAGUGCACAAUGGGCGAAAGCCUGAUGCAGCCAUGCCGCGUGUGUGAAGAAGGCCUUCGGGUUGUAAAGCACUUUCAGCGAGGAGGCGUUACUCGCAGAAGAAGCACCGGCUAACUCCGUGCCAGCAGCCGCGGUAAUUC